GAGGGUGCAAGCGUUACUCGGAAUCACUGGGCGUAAAGGGCGCGUAGGCGGAUUAUCAAGUCUCUUGUGAAAUCCAACGGCUUAACCGUUGAACUGCUUGGGAAACUGGUAAUCUAGAGUGGGGGAGAGGCAGAUGGAAUUGGUGGUGUAGGGGUAAAAUCCGUAGAUAUCACCAAGAAUACCCAUUGCGAAGGCGAUCUGCUGGAACUUAACUGACGCUAAGGCGCGAAAGCGUGGGGAGCAAACAGGAUUAGAUACCCUGGUAGUCCACGCCCUAAACGAUGUAUGCUAGUUGUUGGGGUGCUAGUCAUCUCAGUAAUGCAGCUAACGCAUUAAGCAUACCGCCUGGGGAGUACGGUCGCAAGAUUAAAACUCAAAGGAAUAGACGGGGACCCGCACAAGCGGUGGAGCAUGUGGUUUAAUUCGAAGAUACGCGAAGAACCUUACCUGGGCUUGAUAUCCUAAGAACCUUAUAGAGAUAUGAGGGUGCUAGCUUGCUAGAACUUAGAGACAGGUGCUGCACGGCUGUCGUCAGCUCGUGUCGUGAGAUGUUGGGUUAAGUCCCGCAACGAGCGCAACCCACGUAUUUAGUUGCUAACACUUCGGGUGAGCACUCUAAAUAGACUGCCUUCGUAAGGAGGAGGAAGGUGUGGACGACGUCAAGUCAUCAUGGCCCUUAUGCCCAGGGCGACACACGUGCUACAAUGGCAUAUACAAUGAGACGCAAUACCGCGAGGUGGAGCAAAUCUAUAAAAUAUGUCCCAGUUCGGAUUG
rnacentral:rRNA from 1 species